AUUGAACGCUGGCGGCAUGCCUUACACAUGCAAGUCGAACGGUAACAGGUUAAGCUGACGAGUGGCGAAUGGGUGAGUAAUGUAUCGGAACGUGCCCAGUCGAGGGGGAUAACUGCUCGAAAGAGCAGCUAAUACCGCAUACGACCCGGGGGUGAAAGCGGGGGAUCGCAAGACCCCGCGCGAUUGGAGUGGCCGAUAUCAGAUUAGGUUGUCGGUGAGGUAAAGGUUCACCAAGCCGACGGUCUGUAGCUGGGCUGAGAGGACGAUCAGCCACACUGGGACUGAGCCACGGCCCAGACUCCUACGGGAGGCAGGAGUGAGGAAAUUUAGACGAUGGGCGCAAGCCUGAUCCAGCCAAGCCGCGUGCGGGAAGGAGGCCUUCGGGUUGUAAACCGAUUUUGUCAGGGAAGAAAAGGUUCUGGCUAAUACCUGGGACUCAUGACGGUACCUGAAGAAUAAGCACCGGCUAACUACGUG
rnacentral:rRNA from 1 species